AUACGUAGGGGGCGAGCGUUGUCCGGAAUGAUUGGGCGUAAAGGGCGCGUAGGCGGCCCGGUAAGUCUGGAGUGAAAGUCCUGCUUUCAAGGUGGGAAUUGCUUUGGAUACUGCCGCGCUUGAGUGCAGGAGAGGUUAUCGGAAUUCCCGGUGUAGCGGUGAAAUGCGUAGAGAUCGGGAGGAACACCAGUGGCGAAGGCGGGUAACUGGACUGCAACUGACGCUGAGGCGCGAAAGCGUGGGGAGCAAACAGGAUUAGAUACCCUGGUAGUCCACACUGUAAACGAUGAAUGCUAGGUGUAAGAGGUAUCGACCCCUUUUGUGCCGGAGUCAACACAAUAAGCAUUCCGCCUGGGGAGUACGGCCGCAAGGUUGAAACUCAAAUGAAUUGACGGGG
rnacentral:rRNA from 1 species